CACCGCCCGUCACACCCUGGGAAUUGGUUUCGCCUGAAGCAUCGGACCAAUGAUCACCCAUGACUUCUGUGUACCACUAGUGCCACAAAGGCCUUUGGUGGUCUUAUUGGCGCAUACCACGGUGGGGUCUUCGACUGGGGUGAAGUCGUAACAAGGUAGCCGUAGGGGAACCUGUGGCCA
rnacentral:rRNA from 1 species